rnacentral:rRNA from 1 species
GCCCAAGAGAUCGGGAUAACACCUGGAAACAGAUGCUAAUACCGGAUAACAACAGAUGAUGCCUAUCAACUGUUUAAAAGAUGGUUCUGCUAUCACUCUUGGAUGGACCUGCGGUGCAUUAGCUAGUUGGUAGGGUAACGGCCUACCAAGGCGAUGAUGCAUAGCCGAGUUGAGAGACUGAUCGGCCACAUUGGGACUGAGACACGGCCCAAACUCCUACGGGAGGCAGCAGAC